GACGAACGCUGGCGGCGUGCUUAACACAUGCAAGUCGAACGGUAAGGCCCUGCUUUUGUGGGGUGCUCGGGAGGCGAACGGGAGAGUAACACGAGCGUAACUUGCCCUUGACUUUGGGAUAACUUACGGAGACUAGGGCUAAUAACGGAUAGGAGCUCCUGCGGCGUGGUGGGGGUUGGAUAGUUUCGGCGGUUGGGGAUGGACUCGCGGCUUAUCAGCUUGUUGGUGGGGUAGUGGCAUACCAAGGCGUUGACGGGUAGCCGGCCUGAGAGGGUGACCGGCCACAUUGGGACUGAGAUACGGCCCAGACUCCUACGGGAGGCAGCAGUGGGGAAUAUUGCACAAUGGGCGGAAGCCUGAUGCAGCAACGCCGCGUGCGGGAUGACGGCCUUCGGGUUGUAAACCGCUUUCGCCUGGGACGAAGCGUGAGUGACGGUAAUGGGUAAAGAAGCACCGGCUAACUACGUG
rnacentral:rRNA from 1 species